rnacentral:rRNA from 1 species
GUAAUAUAUCGGAACGUGUCCAGUCGUGGGGGAUAACGUAGCGAAAGUUACGCUAAUACCGCAUACGAUCUCAGGAUGAAAGCGGGGGACCGUAAGGCCUCGCGCGAUUGGAGCGGCCGAUAUCAGAUUAGGUAGUUGGUGGGGUAAAGGCUCACCAAGCCAACGAUCUGUAGCUGGUCUGAGAGGACGACCAGCCACACUGGAACUGAGACACGGUCCAGACUCCUACGGGAGGCAGCAGUGGGGAAUUUUGGACAAUGGACGCAAGUCUGAUCCAGCCAUUCCGCGUGCAGGAUGAAGGCCCUCGGGUUGUAAACUGCUUUUGUACGGAACGAAAAGGUCUCUAUUAAUACUGGGGGCUCAUGACGGUACCGUAAGAAUAAGCACCGGCUAACUACGUGCCAGCAGCCGCGGUAAUACGUAGGGUGCAAGCGUUAAUCGGAAUUACUGGGCGUAAAGCGUGCGCAGGCGGUUAUGUAAGACAGAGGUGAAAUCCCCGGGCUCAACCUGGGAACUGCCUUUGUGACUGCAUAGCUAGAGUACGGUAGAGGGGGAUGGAAUUCCGCGUGUAGCAGUGAAAUGCGUAGAUAUGCGGAGGAACACCGAUGGCGAAGGCAAUCCCCUGGACCUGUACUGACGCUCAUGCA